rfam:Sus scrofa chromosome 2.
CUCUAGCUGGUCUAGAGGCUAGGACUCCUGAUUUUGACUCCGGCUACCCAGGUUCGAUUCCUGAGCAGGAAG